AGAGUUUGAUCCUGGCUCAGGAUGAACGCUAGCGGGAGGCUUAACACAUGCAAGUCGAGCGGGAUUAGUAGCAAUACUAUGAGAGCGGCGCACGGGUGCGUAACGCGUAUGCAACCUGCCUUAUACAAAGGGAUAGCCCAUGGAAACGUGGAUUAAUAUCUUAUAGGACUUGUGAGUCGCAUGGUUUACAAGUUAAAACUACGGUGGUAUAAGAUGGGCAUGCGUCUGAUUAGGUAGUUGGUAGGGUAACGGCCUACCAAGCCGACGAUCAGUAGGGGUUCUGAGAGGAUUACCCCCCACACUGGUACUGAGACACGGACCAGACUCCUACGGGAGGCAGCAGUGAGGAAUAUUGGUCAAUGGGCGAGAGCCUGAACCAGCCAUCCCGCGUGCAGGAUGACGGCCCUAUGGGUUGUAAACUGCUUUUCUGCUCCAAGAAACCCACCUACGUGUAGGUGGUUGACGGUAGAGUAGGAAUAAGCAUCGGCUAACUCCGUGCCAGCAGCCGCGGUAAUACGGAGGAUGCAAGCGUUAUCCGGAUUCAUUGGGUUUAAAGGGUGCGCAGGUGGGAAUGUAAGUCAGUGGUGAAAUACUGCCGCUUAACGGUAGAGCUGCCAUUGAUACUGCGUUUCUUGAGUAUGGUUGAGGUAGGUGGAAUGUGUUGUGUAGCGGUGAAAUGCAUAGAUAUGACACAGAACGCCGAUUGCGAAGGCAACUUACUAAGCCAUUACUGACGCUGAGGCACGAAAGCGUGGGUAGCGAACAGGAUUAGAUACCCUGGUAGUCC
rnacentral:rRNA from 1 species